GGAGAUGUAGCUUAGUGGUACAGCAUGUGUUUAGCAUGGGCAAGGCCUGGGUUCAAUUCCCAGCACCCCA
rnacentral:tRNA from 1 species